GACCCCGUGAACCUUUACUAUAGCUUGACACUGAACAUUGAGCCUUGAUGUGUAGGAUAGGUGGGAGGCUUUGAAGCGUGGACGCCAGUCUGCGUGGAGCCAACCUUGAAAUACCACCCUUUAAUGUUUGAUGUUCUAACGUUGGCCCCUGACCGGGGUUGCGGACAGUGUCUGGUGGGUAGUUUGACUGGGGCGGUCUCCUCCUAAAGCGUAACGGAGGAGCACGAAGGUUAGCUAAUCCUGGUCGGACAUCAGGAGGUUAGUGCAAUGGCAUAAGCUAGCUUGACUGCGA
rnacentral:rRNA from 1 species